rnacentral:rRNA from 1 species
UACGGAGGGGGCUAGCGUUGCUCGGAAUCACUGGGCGUAAAGGGUGCGUAGGCGGGUCUUUAAGUCAGGGGUGAAAUCCUGGAGCUCAACUCCAGAACUGCCUUUGAUACUGAAGAUCUUGAGUUCGGGAGAGGUGAGUGGAACUGCGAGUGUAGAGGUGAAAUUCGUAGAUAUUCGCAAGAACACCAGUGGCGAAGGCGGCUCACUGGCCCGAUACUGACGCUGAGGCACGAAAGCGUGGGAGCAACAGGG